AUCCUAGCUUGCCUGAGACUGUCCUGGUUUUAGCACUGAAAGUGCCUGUUCCAGGAAACCCUGCAGUCUCCAGCAAACUGGGACAG
rnacentral:miRNA from 1 species